rnacentral:sRNA from 1 species
UCCUAUUGUGCGUCCCUUAUGGGAGGGGCCU